GACGAACGCUGGCGGCGUGCUUAACACAUGCAAGUCGAACGGAAAGGCCCUGCUUUUGUGGGGUGCUCGAGUGGCGAACGGGUGAGUAACACGUGAGUAACCUGCCCUUGACUUUGGGAUAACUUCAGGAAACUGGGGCUAAUACCGGAUAGGAGCUCCUGCUGCAUGGUGGGGGUUGGAAAGUUUCGGCGGUUGGGGAUGGACUCGCGGCUUAUCAGCUUGUUGGUGGGGUAGUGGCUUACCAAGGCUUUGACGGGUAGCCGGCCUGAGAGGGUGACCGGCCACAUUGGGACUGAGAUACGGCCCAGAGUCCUACGGGAGGCAGCAGUGGGGAAUAUUGCACAGUGGGCGGAAGCCUGAUGCAGCAACGCCGCGUGCGGGAUGACGGCCUUCGGGUUGUAAACCGCUUUAGCCUGUGACGAAGCGUGAGUGACGGUAAUGGGUAAAGAAGCACCGGCUAACUACGUG
rnacentral:rRNA from 1 species